GUCUCAAGAGUGUGUAGUGUCAACAGCUCCACACAGCUUCCUCUGGGGCCACGGAAUGAAGCAGCUGUAUUACAAAUAAGCAGUAAGCUUAUAUUCCACACUCAGGCUGCCACAAAUGCUUCUGCCCAACAGCCACCCUGAGUCACUACCUGCAGUCCAAUGGAGAGGUGUAAACACAGGCUGUGUCUGUGAUAUUGCCGACAUGAAGAUCAGACCGACUUGUGCAAAUUCACUUUGGCAGGAUAAGCAAGACAGCUGACCUGACAAGCAUCCAGACACUAAUGCUGCUCAAUCUGUGGCUGAUCAUGCCGAACAAGCUUCAAUAACAAAGGUUUUUUUCCACAAAUCCAACAGUCUUUCAGCUACCUGUCAUGAUCCGGACUUUGUUUUGUAUUGUAUUAGCCUUUUCCUUGGCCUUGAAAAAUAAUGGAGAUAUCAUUCUGGGUUAUAGAGGCCAAAAUGCAUUGCAUCUCCAUUGGCAUUCAGGUUAUGCUAUUAAUUUCCUCAAAAGCCUGUUGGUGUUGGGAUCCUGUUUGUAUCUUCUGUUAAGAAUUGAUUUUGUGAUUCAUUUUUUUCAACAAUUUUCAGGCCUUUAUUGCAAAUGUAUGUGUGUGAUUACAUUUUUAUGGGGUCACUGAAUCCAUUUCUGAAAUUUAUUUUUAGUUAGGAACUUGUUUAACAUCUUUUUUAUCUCAUUUGUUUCUCAUGGGCACCACCAUUUCUUGCCACCAUUUUUAGUCAGAUCCAUACCAAGGCCUUCUCAAGAAAUUAGCCUAAAAACAGCAUGGACUCUUUAUGAACUCAUCAGUGUGAGUGACAAAUAGUGUUUUGUUUCUGCAUCUCUUAAGAACUUCUCAAACAUGACAGACACAAUUCUCAUAACUAUUAGAAAGACAAUAGAGACUAAAACACAUUAAUACUGAGCAAAUCUCUAAAAGUGUCUUUCACAAAAUUUGGAAGACUGCUAGAACAUUAGCCAAUCCAUACAGAAUUAUUUUAUAUUCAUAGUGCCCUAAGGAGGUUUUAAAAAUGGUCUUCCAUUCAUUGUCUUCUCUUGUACAAAUACGAUUAUAUGCACUUUAUAUGUCUUAUUUCACAAAAAAAUGUAGACCCAAACAAAGAAGAGAUUUGGGGAAGUGAAUAAUUAUCCUUCUCUACUAUUUAUUUACAGUAUAUACUCGCGGAUAAGGUUUCCCGCGGAUUAGUCGGGGCUUGAUUUAACUGUAUAAUUUCUGAUAUUUUAUAAUGUUGGUCAUAUAAGUCAAAUGUGGAAAAAUCGCGGUAUUGGUCCAAAAGAUUAUGAUAUGCUAACACCCACCUGAGGGAGUAACCACAGAGUACGCUGCCUGUUUUUUUUCUAUGUAUUGUGCCUACAUGACCACAUGCUAAUAUCCAAACUAUU